CCAUGGGGAGUGACCUCUGCCUCUGACCUCUGCCUGGUAGACAAGCAGAAUGAGUUAUACUGCAGAUUUGAUAGUCCAAUCCCCUCUCCACCCCCCACAGCUCCACCAACCUGCCCCAGACCCUCUCUAUUCUGGAGAGAGACGUUAACAGGCUCUUUAAAAGACAAAACCCUCGCAAAGCAGCGGUUCCGGACUCUGUCUCCCCCCCACACCCUGAAGCAUUGUGCUGACCAGCUGUCUCCGGUGUUCACAGACAUCUUCAACACCUCCCUGGAGACAUGCCACCUACCAGCCUCGACUCCCCAGGAACCUACGGCAGGAUCCUGUCUGUGGACUUCAACACGAUCAUCCCGUCUGCUGGACAAACUCUCUCAGCUGCACGUGCCCGACUCCACCUGCAAGUGGAUCACUGACUUCCUGUCUGAGCAUGUCUCAGCCUCUCGGACCAUCAGCACCGGUUCCCCCCAAGUCCGCCUACAGAUGGGAAUUUGACCAUUUGGUGAUGGUGGUCAAAAUAAUCUGGAGCUCCACGCUUUGAAGACAGUGGAGAUGAUUGUAGAUGUUAGGAAGAAGGGAAUCCCACCUUCCUGCAUCACCCUGUGUGACUUCCCUGUCACCGCUGUGGAUUCCUCCCAUAUUCUGGGCUCCAUCAUCACCUAGAACCUCAAGUGGGAGCGGAACAUCACCUCCAUCACCAAGAAGGCUCAGCAUAGGCUGAUCUUUCUGAGGCAAGAAAUUUAACCUGCCAAAGACGAUGAUGGUGCACUUCUACACGGCCAUCAUCGAGUACAUCCUCUACUCCAUCACCGUCUGGUACUCUUGCAGCCACAGCUAAGGACAAGGGCAGGCUGCAGCUUGUCAUCCGCUCUUCAGAGAGCGUGAUCAGCUGCAAUCUGCCGUCUCUCCAGGACUUGUUUGGUUUCAGGACCUUGAAGGGAGCUAAAAAGAUCGUUGCCGACCCCUCUCACCCCAGACAAAACCUGUUUGUGCCCCUUACAUCUGGCAGGAGGCUGAGGUCCAUCAGGACCCAGACCUCCCGCCACAGUUUCUUCCCGCCGGCAGUCGGGUUCAUCAACACAGCCCGGGUCCCCCACUGACUGACCUUGACCUCCCACCGUCACUCCCUUUUUCAACUUUUAAUUUUAAUUUGAAUUCCUAUUGCAUGUUCCUAUGUUGUCCAUUGUCUUGUCUGAUGUUAUGCACCAACCGUGUAUGUCUAACAUAUUUUGGUAAUAAAUGGUACUGAUUCCUGAUUAUUAUUUUAACACUACAAGUUACACAGGGCCUUCGCAGUCCGACGUUGUUGGUUGCCCUGGCCCUGAUAUUGAAGCUACAAGCAGCAAUGAAUGGGCCCUCCCACCUUUGUGAUGUCCGGUGUACUGGGAGGACGGCAACGUCCACAGCCACGAGUGUUUGCAACUGUUGUGCAAAGCAUCCCUAAAUUACACAUAUUUUGCCCCGUGGUCAGAUCUGCAUGGAUUAGAUGGGAUCUGUCACAUAAUACUGAUUUAUUUCCGUCAGUAUGAAAAUUUGCUUGGCAUCUUCAGGCCAUUAGUGUUACUAAACAGUUAGUGAGUCCAGAGGACUUAAACAAUAGGGAACUACAUAAAAUAGCCACUCUUCCACAGUUACAACAUUCCAUCAAAUGUAAAAUAUUUCAAAAUUUGAAUUAAAACAAAUUCUGAUACACUUCAAGGUACUUGCCAAACUUGAAGUGGAUCAGAAAAAGUCUUGAAUAAGGAAUAGGGAAUAUUUAUUGACAACCUAUGUUAGACAUACAAGGAAUUGGGACAUGGCGGUUGGUGCAUAACAUUGGACAGUGAGGCAAUGAGACAAUGGACAUCAAAACAAAUAACACAGUGCAGGAAAAAUGACAUGCUCAAUUUACAAAUGUAUAAUUUAAAUCUACAGUAUGUUAUAGAAGGCUGUAGGCUAGAGGAAUAUAGAAUACAAAAAUAAUAAUAAUAAUGUGAUAAGUUGAAAAGAUAACCAUACUCUACACAGGUUGGGAGUAUGUGAAAGUAACAAGUGUAUGUACAUAUGGAGUGUGAAGGGAUGUGCGGGGGAGUGACCGGUGGAAAAGGUAAUAUCAGAGGCUGGAUUCGAAUUCGUCGUUCCUAUGCUAGGUGACAGUACCCGCUACUACUUAUCCCCCCAAGUUGAGAGCAAAGUGCACAAGGACAACAGGAAGAGUCGCUAGUUCAACAUGUUCCACCUUGUGGAAUUCUGAUCAAAUGAUCAAUUGUGUGUAGUUUUGUGUUUAAAAUAACAAUAACAAUUAAAGUGUCUAAAAUACAA